rnacentral:misc_RNA from 1 species
GAAAGCAUCAGAAGUAUGACAAGUUGUUAUGUUUUUAAAAGCCGAUUGCAAGAGUAUGCCCAGAAAGUUGGACUUCCUACCCCUGUUUAUGAGACUAUCAAGGAAGGCCCUUCUCAUGAGCCUACAUUUACGUCUACAGUGAUUGUGGACAAUGAUAGAUAUGAUUCUCUGCCUGGAUUUUACAAUCGCAAGGCAGCGGAGCAAUCAGCUGCUGAAGUUGCACUCAUGAGUCUUGGAAAUUCUGGGUCAGUGGAAAACCUUUCUCAGCCAGUGCAUGAAACAGGCUUGUGCAAAAAUUUGUUGCAAGAGUAUGCUCAGAAGAUGAAUUUUGCAAUCCCACAAUAUGAAUGCGAGAGGUAUGACUCCGAAAGCAAAAUUAUAUCAUUUACAUGUACUGUUGACGUAGGGGGAAUGAAAUAUAUUGGAGCAGCAGCUAGAACGAAGAAGGAAGCAGAGAUCAAAGCUGCUCGAACUGCAUUGUUGGCUGUUCAGUCUAGCGGUUUUGCGCCUAAUUAUUCUUCAUACACUGUCGUUCCAAUGAAGAAGGUCACAGAUUUGGCAAUCAGCAAUCAGGAGAGUGCAGCAGCUCUGAAACCAAAGAAACACAGAUUCAAGAAAAAGCAGACAAGGAAUUUUUCAGAUGUCAGUUAUCAUGUACGCACAAAGAUUUUUGGUGACUCGGAAGUUCAGAUGGUAAAUCAAGCUAAACCAGAGAUGCAUGAAAAUGCUGCUGUGAUGACUCCAGGUACAGGAUCUGGACCUGCACCUUUUGCAGGCACUAUGGGUGAUCUAGUUCCAUCCAACAAUUUGAGUUCUGAUUAUGGAACUUCAAAUAUUGGAAUCAACUCUCAGUGUGGUGGAGGAGUAACGACUGAGGGAAAUGCCGUUAUUGGAGUUGAGCAGGUAACUUUAGAGGUGGCACCAGUUGCUUGGAACGACAAUCUUCAUGUACAGGACCUGCACCUUU